AGUUUGAUCCUGGCUCAGGAUGAACGCUAGCUACAGGCUUAACACAUGCAAGUCGAGGGGCAGCAUUGGAGUAGCAAUACUUCAGAUGGCGACCGGCGCACGGGUGAGUAACACGUAUCCAACCUGCCGCUUACUCGGGGAUAGCCUUUCGAAAGAAAGAUUAAUACCCGAUGGUAUAAAGAGUUCGCAUGUUCUCUUUAUUAAAGAAUUUCGGUAAGCGAUGGGGAUGCGUUCCAUUAGAUUGUUGGCGGGGUAACGGCCCACCAAGUCUACGAUGGAUAGGGGUUCUGAGAGGAAGGUCCCCCACAUUGGAACUGAGACACGGUCCAAACUCCUACGGGAGGCAGCAGUGAGGAAUAUUGGUCAAUGGACGAGAGUCUGAACCAGCCAAGUAGCGUGAAGGAUGACUGCCCUAUGGGUUGUAAACUUCUUUUAUAAGGGAAUAAAGUGAGGGACGUGUCCCUUUUUGUAUGUACCUUAUGAAUAAGGAUCGGCUAACUCCGUGCCAGCAGCCGCGGUAAUACGGAGGAUCCAAGCGUUAUCCGGAUUUAUUGGGUUUAAAGGGAGCGUAGGUUGACAUAUAAGUCAGCUGUGAAAGUUUACGGCUCAACCGUGAAAUUGCAGUUGAUACUGUAUGUCUUGAGUGUACAAGAGGUGGGCGGAAUUCGUGGUGUAGCGGUGAAAUGCUUAGAUAUCACGAAGAACUCCAAUUGCGAAGGCAGCUCACUGGGGUACAACUGACACUGAGGCUCGAAAGUGUGGGUAUCAAACAGGAUUAGAUACCCUGGUAGUCCACACAGUAAACGAUGAAUACUCGCUGUUUGCGAUAUACAGUAAGCGGCCAAGCGAAAGCAUUAAGUAUUCCACCUGGGGAGUACGCCGGCAACGGUGAAACUCAAAGGAAUUGACGGGGGCCCGCACAAGCGGAGGAACAUGUGGUUUAAUUCGAUGAUACGCGAGGAACCUUACCCGGGCUUGAAUUGCAGAGGAAUAUAGUUGAAAGAUUAUAGCCGCAAGGUCUCUGUGAAGGUGCUGCAUGGUUGUCGUCAGCUCGUGCCGUGAGGUGUCGGCUUAAGUGCCAUAACGAGCGCAACCCUUAUCAUUAGUUACUAACAGGUCAUGCUGAGGACUCUAGUGAGACUGCCGUCGUAAGAUGUGAGGAAGGUGGA
rnacentral:rRNA from 1 species